CAGAGGGCGUGAAACCGCUUAGAAUAAAACGGACGGAGCCGUCAGGAGCCUUCGGGACUCAGUCGUCUGUAUGGCGAAAACGUAGCGUUCGGAGAACGUAAAGUCUUCGGCGUUGCGUUAGUAGUCGAUAGUCGACGCAUUUCUCGAGGGCAAGCAUCGCAACCGAUACGAAAGGCUAGCGAGGCGAUUGGGUUGAGGUCUAGUUCCUUCGCGGGAGCUAGUUUCCAGCCUUUUCGCGCGAGUCGUUAGACCGCAGUAUGUAUCGAGCGUCUAAAAACGUAUACGUCGGCUAAAAAGCUCGUCGUGCGAUGGAUAGUCGGUUAAUUAGUUGGUUACUUGCUUGCAGGUACCGACGAGUUUGGCUGUCUCAGAAGUCGCCGGCGACAUAGACGUAUUGGCGUUAGCGAUGUCAGUGUCGGUCGCCCGUCCGACCCGUCUUGAAACACGGACCAAGGAGUCUAACAUAUGCGCGAGCUAAUAGGUGUAAAACCUAUAGGCGCAAUAAAAGUAAACGCUGUUUCGGACAGCCGAGGUACGAUCCUAGAUUCGCUCUAGGCGCAGUACCGUCUCAUCCCUAAGGCACGUCCUAAGGGUGAAGAUAGAGUGCAUACGUUGGGACCCGAAAGAUGGUGAACUAUGCCUGAGCAGAGCGAAGCCAGAGGAAACUCUGGUGGAGGUUCGUAGCGGUUCUGACGUGCAAAUCGAUCGUCAGACUUGGGUAUAGGGGCGAAAGACUAAUCGAACCAUC
rnacentral:rRNA from 1 species